rnacentral:misc_RNA from 1 species
CAGCAAUAGGCAUGUGGAAUAUGUUAAUGGUUGAGUGUGAAUGACAGAAUAAGGUGCCAAGAGAUUUUAAACAAAGCAUUUGAAAAACAGCUUCAGAUAUCACUUUAAAGAUGGCUAGUCAACUUCAAAUGAAUGAUGUUCUGUUCGCAUGAGUCAAAGACUUACCAUGCAGUUUCUCCAUGUCUUCGUGACUGCUGGAAAGUUGGGUGUUAUUGCAAUUAGUUUGCUCAAACACUACAAAAUAGUAAUAAAGAACCAAAACUUAUUUCUGUAAGUGACAUGGCUGAUGUUCCCAGCACAAUAGAAGAAAGUAGUUUUCCUACGAAAGAUGAGCUGACAUCAGAUGUGCUUCGUGCUCGCACUGCAGAAUACUACAAAGAAAUUUAUAAAUCAGCUUAUGUGUAUAAAAGUGGAAGUAUGACUCAAAUAAGUGAACCUUCACAUACAACGAACACAGUGCCCAUUAAAUUACCGACCUCACAGUUAAAACAAUCUUUGGAGAAUUGUACUAUGCAUACAACAUCCAGAAGUCUGAUACAAUGUAAUCCUCAUCUUCAAAAUGAUGGCCCACAUCGAACUCUCAGUGAAAGAAUGAAUAGGAUAUCAGUUACCACACAGCGACCCGGGUGUAGAGUUGCAUUAUACCGAAGUAACAGUAACUUGGAGAUAGAACAUAGAAAAGAAAGGUUUUCGGAGAGAACAGUGAGCGUUCAUGGAAACUUUGGAAGUACUUCAUCUUUAGGUAUAAAAAAUGGUGCAAAUGAAGGUUUUUUCUCCAUGCUAAAAGAGUUUAAACCAGGUCAUACUGACCAGAGAAGUGCUGGACCUGCUAGAUUGCAGGAGGUUUUGAUAGGUAAAGUUGAUUCUCCACCAGCUUCCCAGAAUGCCUCAAAUACUUUAGUUCACAAUUCAGGUAGUUUGGAGGAUUGCCAAAGCCCUACUUUAAAAUCAAAACUGUAUAAAUUGUGGGACAUGAGAGAGAAAGUCAAAAUGCUCAAUGCAGAGACAAUAUUUUUUAAGAAAGUCAGAAAUAAAGUGGAUACAAGUACAAACUUGAGUACGCAUGGUUCUCACAUGUCAAUAGAUUCUGACUGCAGACUUGAAGAGAAAAUGAGAAAAAAAACAUUUGCUCACUAUGAUUGUCAGAGCAUCAGUGUUGAUUUGAGCACAACUGCUUCAGUAGUGUGUAAGUUGGUAACUCGUAGGUGCAAUACUUCUACUGGUGCUUCUGCAGCAUCUGUAAUAAGCAAACUACAGUAUAGUCAUAGCGGGGACGGGAAUGCUUUAAUGAAAUAUCAGGAUCCAGGAGAUGGGCGCUGCAAUGAUCUCGUUCUUAGUUGUUCCUUUUUUCGGAAUGAGCUCUGUGGUGAAAAGGAGAAAAUGGUUAGUUUAAACAGGUUAACUCGCAGACUGAGUCAGAAGAAUUCAGCGACAACUGUUCCUGGGUCAACUACCUUUUAUAGGCCUUUAUCAGCAUAUGGUUUAUCAGUUCUUGAAAAAACUGAUAACAUUAGGUGGAAGAAGCAUUGUUGCCCAUAUCAACGUUUUUCCUUCCCUAUUGAAAAAACUGACACUGGAGCUCUUUACUACAGGCAGUAUUUUUUAAACCAGGAGCAUCAGAAUUGGUUUGGUAUCGAUGAAAAUCUUGGACCUGUUGCAAUCAGUAUUCGACGGGAAAAAGUGAAUGAAAGUACAAAAAAUGGAAGCUGUUCGCCAUCACAGCCACAGUUUCAGUAUCGUUUAAUUGUCCGAACAAGCGAGGUACGGACAUUGCGUGGGGCCGUAUUAGAAGAAGCAAUUCCUUCACAUUUUCGGUCUAGUAUCCAACGUGGACCACUUGCUAGGGAAGUGUUUGAAUACAUAACUCCAGAGAUACAGUUGUCAUCUCUGAGGUUGGGUUUGUCUGGAGGUCAGACUCAAGAACAGCUUCUGAAACUUGAUGAACAGAUGGUGUCCAAAACAUACAAAGUUGGAAUACUGUAUUGUAAGUCAGGCCAGUCCUUGGAAGAAGAAAUGUAUAAUAAUGAAGUUUCUGGGCCAGCCUUUGAAGAAUUUCUGGAGCUGAUCGGAAAGCGAGUGAGAUUAAAGGGAUUUGAUAAGUACACAGGAGGAUUAGAUAAUAAAACAGAUGCAAGUGGCCUGUAUUCAGUUUAUUCUUCCUAUCAAAACCGUGAGAUCAUGUUUCAUGUGUCAACCAUGUUACCUUAUACUCCAAACAAUAAACAGCAGGUGCUGAGGAAACGACAUAUUGGAAAUGACGUUGUAACCAUUGUAUUCCAAGAACCUGGUGCGCUUCCCUUCACACCCAAAAACAUCCGUUCAAACUUUCAGCACGUGUUCAUAGUUGUGAAAGCUGUGGAUCCAUGCACUGUCAAUACAACAUACAGAGUGGCUGUUAGUCGAUCAAAAGAAGUCCCAGCUUUUGGGCCUCCAAUCCCAUCUGGUGGAACUUUCCAAAAGUGCAAGUCUUUUGUUGACUUUCUUCUAGCAAAAGUCAUCAAUGCAGAAGAGGCAGCUCACCAAUCAGAAAAGUUUGUUACCAUGAUCCAAAGAACAAGGUUCGAGUGGCUGAAAGAUCUUGCUACAGACCAUGUCAGUAAUACAACAGUGGAGACUGGGCCAAAAUUUUCUAUACCCUCAUUUGGGGGAAAAAAGAAAGAGCGUAAUCGACCAAAAUUUAUCCCAGACAAUUUCAUUCAGGGAGCUAUAUCCUGGAAGGUGCAGGUUGAAGAUUUUGAGGAACUGUGUAAGAUCAAUUGUUUACUGGGAAUAUCGGCACACACCAUUGUCUUGAUUGAAGAAAGCACAAAAGAAAUUAUUUUUGCAUGUCCUUCAGCUUCAGUUCUUGGAUGGUCAUCUCAUACAGGCUGUUUGAAGAUAUUUUACCAUCAAGGAGAAUGCAUUGUUCUGAUCACCAGGGAUCCAGAAAUUGAUGAGAUACAGGAGAUUGUCAGUCGCCUAGCUUGUGUAACUACUGGAUGUGAGACACAAGAACUGAUUCUUAGACGGAACGGUCAGAGACAAAUUGGAUUUCAUGUUCAGUAUGAGGGCGUUGUUACGGAGGUAGAAAAUCAUGGGCUUGCGUGGCAGGCUGGACUGAGGAAAGGAAGUCGUUUAUUAGAGAUUUGCAAGAUACCUGUGGCCACACUGCUUUAUGAUCAGAUGGCAGAUUUGCUUCAAACUUCAUUAAUGGUAUCUGUAACUAUGGUUCCUCCUCUUUUCAAUGGACUUCCUCGCAGGGGCUGUGGAUUAAAGAACUGCCAUUACUUGUCUAUGGACAUUGGAGAAGAAAAUGAAAAUGUUGGAGGCAGAUCAAACCAGACACCCUUUUACUCCCAGACUCAGUCAUCUACACAUCAACAAAAUCCCAGCAAUCAAAUUAACAAGUGCACUAGCCAAUCUCGUGGCCAAAUCAGUCAAUCAUCUCAAGAUUCUGGUCAGCAACUUCUCACAGAACAUACAGAAAAAUGUGAUCCCAAGGUCAUUAAUGUUGAAGAUGAACUAGUGGAACCACCUAGUAGAAUAAAUGAACAACUUCAACCUACUGUUUUGCACUGUGAGGAGAGGCCACUUCUUCUUCCGUCAGUCUCUCUUCAGCCUUCGAAGAAUAGUGCUUUUACUCAAGUUUUAUCCCGCCAGCCUCCUCCACCACCACCAAAGCCUGCACGACUGUGUGCUCUUGUAAGUUUUCCCAGUGAAAGGAGAGGAACAGCGGGUCUGUUCAUGUCUCGCAGUGAACUGUCUUUGUCUCAGAUUGGAUCUGCCCAACAAUCGUACCCUUCUUCUGGAUCUACAGUUCUACAUAGGAGAGGUGUGUUGUCUGCUAUUGGCUUUGAUGUUAAAUCAUCACAAUCCCAUGAUUCCAUAUACGGUUCAGUUUUUGGGAAUGAAGCUGGAAGGGAAAGUCCUGAACAGUACAGUAGUCUUCCUUCCCACUUUCAAGAAGGGUGUAGUGAAGAUGGUUACAUAUUGUUACCUAGCUCUGUAGGGGAACCACCAAGGUUACGAAAAAGAGUUCGCUCAGGCAAGACAAGAAAGCCUCUGUGUGAUGGCAGUUGGACCUUUCAGAAGGACUUGCUGAAACUUAUUGAUCCUGAUUCUCUAGAUGAUAGUGGGUGUGAGGUGGUAGGCUCGGAGCCCUCAUCUGGUCAGUCGGAUUGUACAUCUACACCUUGUUCUUCGUUGGAGCGUUGCAGAAAUGCCCGUCACACUGAACAUCUAUGUAGCAACCCUCCAGAUGAUGAGUUGAUAACAACCAGAGCUUGUGUGGCUCAUGUUAUUCCUACCACUUUAGUUUCAUCGACAGUUAAUAAAGAUUUAUCUACCGUAAAAGAAAGAUAUUCAUUAGAUGAUACAAGUGACAACCUUGUCAAUACCUUACAAAGUUCUGUUCCUUUACCAUCUUCUAAGGAGUUGGAUUGGUCAAGUCUUGUAGAUACAGCAUCCAGAAGUACAGAAAGCAGUAUAUUGAAUUUUAAAGAAGACGUUGCUAAAAAAAACAGUGAAAGUGGUUCACAGCAAAUCUGUCAACUUCAAAAGAAGGUGAGAAAACUUCAGGAAGAUCUGGUUAAAGAACAAAGUCAAACUGCUGUUCUGGAAAAACAGAUGAAGCAACUGCAACUAGAAAACCAAAGGCUUCAUCAAGAAUCUCAGCUUGUGGUUGCUAAACUUAAUAAGAUCAGCAAGAUGGUUCUUCCUCCACAACAGUGUUUGUAAUAAACUAGCUUGCAGAUCACCAAGUCAUAGUGUACAAUUAAGGAUUGUUUAUAUUGAGCAACUAAAGUAUCUCAGCUUGUAGUAAUAUAGCUUAAUGAGAUAGCCAAAGUUUAUCAACCACAACUGAAAAAUCUCAGCUUCUGAUAAUCCAACUUCACAAGAUAGCCAACAUUUAU